rnacentral:rRNA from 1 species
AGUGAACGCUGGCGGUGGGCCUAACACAUGCAAGUCGAACGGCAGCACAGUAAGAGCUUGCUCUUACGGGUGGCGAGUGGCGGACGGGUGAGGAAUACAUCGGAAUCUACUUUUUCGUGGGGGAUAACGUAGGGAAACUUACGCUAAUACCGCAUACGACCUACGGGUGAAAGCAGGGGAUCUUCGGACCUUGCGCGAUUGAAUGAGCCGAUGUCGGAUUAGCUAGUUGGCGGGGUAAAGGCCCACCAAGGCGACGAUCCGUAGCUGGUCUGAGAGGAUGAUCAGCCACACUGGAACUGAGACACGGUCCAGACUCCUACGGGAGGCAGCAGUGGGGAAUAUUGGACAAUGGGCGCAAGCCUGAUCCAGCCAUACCGCGUGGGUGAAGAAGGCCUUCGGGCUGUAAAGCCCUUUUGUUGGGAAAGAAAAGCAGCAGGUUAACACCCCGCUGUUCUGACGGUACCCAAAGGAUAAGCACCGGCUAACUUCGCG